rnacentral:pre_miRNA from 1 species
AAUGUAGCAUGCCCGUUUGGUGCUUAACUCUGAUUAAUAUUUGCUAUUUAAUUACUUUUGGGUAACGGGUUGUUACAACCUU